GACGAACGCUGGCGGCGUGCCUAAUACAUGCAAGUUGAGCGAUGAAGAUUGGUGCUUGCACCCAUUUGAAGAGCAGCGAACGGGUGAGUAACGCGUGGGGAAUCUGCCUUUGAGCGGGGGACAACAUUUGGAAACGAAUGCUAAUACCGCAUAACAACUUUAAACAUAAGUUUUAAGUUUGAAAGAUGCAAUUGCAUCACUCAAAGAUGAUCCCGCGUUGUAUUAGCUAGUUGGUGAGGUAAAGGCUCACCAAGGCGAUGAUACAUAGCCGACCUGAGAGGGUGAUCGGCCACAUUGGGACUGAGACACGGCCCAAACUCCUACGGGAGGAAGCAGUAGGGAAUCUUCGGCAAUGGACGAAAGUCUGACCGAGCAACGCCGCGUGAGUGAAGAAGGUUUUCGGAUCGUAAAACUCUGUUGGUAGAGAAGAACGUUGGUGAGAGUGGAAAGCUCAUCAAGUGACGGUAACUACCCAGAAAGGGACGGCUAACUACGUG
rnacentral:rRNA from 1 species